GAUGAACGCUGGCGGCGUGCCUAAUACAUGCAAGUCGAGCGAACAGACGAGGAGCUUGCUCCUCUGACGUUAGCGGCGGACGGGUGACUAACACGUGGAUAACCUACCUAUAAGACUGGGAUAACUUCGGGAAACCGGAGCUAAUACCGGAUAAUAUAUUGAACCGCAUGGUUCAAUAGUGAAAGACGGUUUUGCUGUCACUUAUAGAUGGAUCCGCGCCGCAUUAGCUAGUUGGUAAGGUAACGGCUUACCAAGGCAACGAUGCGUAGCCGACCUGAGAGGGUGAUAGGCCACACGGGAGCGGAGACACGGUCCAGACUCCUACGGGAGGCAGCAGUAGGGAAUCUUCCGCAAUGGGCGAAAGCCUGACGGAGCAACGCCGCGUGAGUGAUGAAGGUCUUCGGAUCGUAAAACUCGGUUAUUAGGGAAGAACAAAUGUGUAAGUAACUAUGCACGUCUUGACGGUACCUAAUCAGAAAGCCACGGCUAACUACGUG
rnacentral:rRNA from 1 species